rnacentral:rRNA from 1 species
CCUACGGGAGGCUGCAGUGGGGAAUAUUGCACAAUGGGCGCAAGCCUGAUGCAGCCAUGCCGCGUGUGUGAAGAAGGCCUUCGGGUUGUAAAGCACUUUCAGCGGGGAGGAAGGCGUUAAGGUUAAUAACCUUGGCGAUUGACGUUACCCGCAGAAGAAGCACCGGCUAACUCCGUGCCAGCAGCCGCGGUAAUACGGAGGGUGCAAGCGUUAAUCGGAAUUACUGGGCGUAAAGCGCACGCAGGCGGUCUGUCAAGUCGGAUGUGAAAUCCCCGGGCUCAACCUGGGAACUGCAUUCGAAACUGGCAGGCUAGAGUCUUGUAGAGGGGGGUAGAAUUCCAGGUGUAGCGGUGAAAUGCGUAGAGAUCUGGCGGAAUACCGGUGGCGAAGGCGGCCCCCUGGACAAAGACUGACGCUCAGGUGCGAAAGCGUGGGGAGCAAGCAGGAUUAGAUACCCUAGUAGUC